rnacentral:RNase_P_RNA from 1 species
GUUUUCGGAUAAUCGCGCGUUUGCUCUUGAUAGAGUAAACGUGAGGAAAGUCCAGGCUCGUCCACGCUGAGAAGUCUUCAUCUUAAAAUGAUUGAAGCGCGUGGAGUGAUUGUGGUUCGCGAAUAAAUAAGCGGACGUAGGGCGUCAACCCUAACGGCGGUGAAAUGGACUAAGUCUGGAUUUUUAAAGUCAAGAUAUGCCAGAUUAGCCUGAAAGUGCCAUAGAGACGAAUCGUUCUGGAAACGGAACGGCUGGAACGUGGUAAACCCCUCAAGCGAGCAACCCAAACUACGGUCGGGGCAUUCAGCUAGCCGAAAUUGAAGGCGCGGCUGAGCGUGCAGUCUGCACGAGACAGAUGAUUAUCCCGCUCUGAUGAUUCAGGCGGACAAAACUUGGCUUAUAGAA